GUGCUUGCUUCAACAGCACAUAUACUAAAACUGGAGCAAUACAGAGAAGAAUUAGCAAGGUCCCUGCCAGGAUGACAUGCAAAUUUAUGAAGCAUUCCAUAUAUUU
rnacentral:snRNA from 1 species